UGAGCUAGUGGCCCACACCUGCCAGUGGUCAGCUGACCAGAAGGGGCAGGGCCUGGCUCACAUAUAAACCCCAGGCCUGAGGCCAGGAUGGUAGUUCCUUGCCAGCAGCCAAGGGAGAAGGAGCUCUCCUAGUGCAAGCAAAGGGGAGCGGACUGACUGCAGGAUCCCCCCAAAUGGAGGAAGAGUCUGCUGCAAGGAUCUCAAUACUCUGAAAUCUUAUGAUGACAGCAGGAGGUGGAAAAGAGGGAGUGGCAGAAGCAGUGUGUCACAGAUCGAAUCACGAAUCUGGAGCCACUCACCCCACGUGGAAACAUAUGCAACAGAAUCUGUUAAUCCCAGAUUGUGUUCAAAGAUGGCUGAUAAAACCACAGAUAAGACAUUCAUGGAAUGCAAUCAUCCUGGACUGGAGGGAUUGCUGAAGAAUAAGAUGUGGAUGUAAAUCAUGAGUGCAUAGAAAAACAGCUUUUCCAGCAUAACUUCUAUGACUUUACCUCACCACUAGAUAGCAGAAGAUCACAUAACAACAUGUUUAUCUUGAGCGAAUGCCUAUUGUGGACAUGUAUUUAGACUGAUGUAAUUUUGCACUGGACUUCAGUACAUUAUACUGUCGCAGGACUAUACUAUACCUCGGCUGCUCUCUUACAUUGAAACAACUGAUUACAUUCUCAGCUGAGAUUCUUUACUUGCAUAUUGCCUGUAUUUUUUGAUGUAGGCUACCAAGCACUGUUGUGGAUCAUGUCAGAAUAUAUGCAGGUGGAAUUUCUACAUAAGGCUACGUGAGGGGAAAAAGUACUCUAUGAAUCUAAAACCUCAACACAGUGAAGUUCUUAUUAUAACUUCCCCAGCAGUUCACGAAAUCCAUUAGCUCCAGCAUAAGUGGACAUGACUCACUGAAGACCCUGGAAGUCAGGCUCAUUAUGCCAAAACUGAUUUUUUUAUUUUUUUUUUUUUU